CCUANGGGUGGCUGCAGUGGGGAAUUUUGGACAAUGGGCGCAAGCCUGAUCCAGCCAUGCCGCGUGAGUGAAGAAGGCCUUCGGGUUGUAAAGCUCUUUCAGCCGGAAAGAAAACGCACGGGUUAAUAACCUGUGUGGAUGACGGUACCGGAAGAAGAAGCACCGGCUAACUACGUGCCAGCAGCCGCGGUAAUACGUAGGGUGCGAGCGUUAAUCGGAAUUACUGGGCGUAAAGCGUGCGCAGGCGGUUUUGUAAGACAGAUGUGAAAUCCCCGGGCUUAACCUGGGAACUGCAUUUGUGACUGCAAGGCUAGAGUACGGCAGAGGGGGGUAGAAUUCCACGUGUAGCAGUGAAAUGCGUAGAUAUGUGGAGGAAUACCGAUGGCGAAGGCAGCCCCCUGGGUCGAUACUGACGCUCAUGCACGAAAGCGUGGGGAGCAAACAGGAUUAGAUACCCCGNUAGUC
rnacentral:rRNA from 1 species